rnacentral:rRNA from 1 species
UACGUAGGAUGCGAGCGUUGUCCGGAUUUAUUGGGCGUAAAGAGAACGUAGGUGGUUUCUUAAGUUUGGUCUUAAAAGACCGGGGCUCAACCCCCGGGAAUGGAUCGAAUACUGGGAGACUAGAGGAUGUUAGAGGAAAGUGGAAUUCCAAGUGUAGCGGUGAAAUGCGUAGAUAUUCGCAAGAACACCAGUGGCGAAGGCGGCUCACUGGCCCGGUACUGACGCUGAGGUGCGAAAGCGUGGGGAGCAAACAGG